AAUGAACGCUGGCGGCGCGCCUAAUACAUGCAAGUCGAGCGAGAAGACGUAGCAAUACGUUUGUAAAGCGGCGAACGGGUGAGGAAUACAUGGGUAACCUACCCUCGAGUGGGGAAUAACUAGCCGAAAGGUUAGCUAAUACCGCGUACGCUCCUUGGACUUCGGUUCAGGGAGGGAAAGCGAUACCGUGGGUAUCGCGCUCUUGGUUGGGCUCAUGUCCUAUCAGCUUGUUGGUGAGGUAACGGCUCACC
rnacentral:rRNA from 1 species